rnacentral:lncRNA from 1 species
CUGUACCAAAGACCCCUCAUUCAGCAGAUGCUUUCUGCAAAUUCAAGAUCUAAAAUGCAUGAUUAAGUACUAUAUUAAACAGAAAGGUAAAGAUUUUGGUACCAAGGUGAGGGAGAGCUUGGAUUAUGUUCGAUUGGGCAACACUAUGCACCCUGAGCAAGCCAGCUGGUUAUAAUGAUGUUGCCACCAAAUGGGAUGUUAACUGAAAUACCCCACCUUAGCCUAACAGUGCUGUGAUUGUGUUGGCCACAUUACCACUUACCUGUGUUCAGCACUAGAAAUAUAAUCACAAUGUUUCAGUUUACCGUUUUGGUAUGAAAGUGCUAUUCAUUAAUGAAAGGAUGAAUUGAGACGUGUUUGUGGUGAGCCCAGUGCACUUUGCAAGUACUUUGUGAAUGAAUGAAACCUGCUGUUUUACUCAUUUUAGGUUAACCUGUUACUCCCCAUACUGAGUACCAAAGGAAGUCUGCUCAAGUGGAGAUGCAGUGUGUCUUUAUUUUCUUGACAGAGGAGCUGCACACUGAAAUGUUUGUCUGGAUUCCUGCAGCCAGGAAGACUCCUAACAUCCAGACCCACUUGUGCUGCAAUGUAGGCAGUGUAGUGCACCUGCCUCAAAGCCUCACAUUUAGGCCCAGAGAGAAGCAUAAACGAGUACUUGCUGCUUCAACAAGAUGAGUCAGAUGCACAAAGACAGAUUUCUUCUGGCUUCCUCUGCCCUUAAAAACAAGAAGAUUGCUCUGAUCAGACUUCACAGAUCACUUUAAAAUGACAAGAAGCAUGCAAUGCAUAUAAAAACAUCAAUAAGGAGAUGAAGCAGAACAGAUGCGUUCAGAUGGAUCAUAGAGUUAUUACAGUAGUAAAAGACCACUACCAUCACCUAGUGCAGCUGUCAGCCCAUCACCUCCAUAUCACUGACCACAUCCCUCACUGCCACAUCUCCACAUUUCUUGAACACCCCCCAGGUCAGUGAACCCUCCACCUCCCUGAGCAGCCCAUGCCAAUGCAUCACCACUCUUCCUGAGAAGAAAUUUCUCCUAAUAUCCCACCUGAAGCUCCCCUGGCACAACUUAAAGCCAUUAUCUCUCAUACUGUUGUCAUUAAGACACCACUUCAUGGACAUAUAUCAGUCAUUCUGAGAGUCUUUUUUUUUUUUUUACAUCUCACAUACAAAGUUGAAGGUAUAAAUACUCAGCAUGAGGCCAGCUGCUGAACUUUUAGGAUAGUUAUAUUUCAGUACGUUUAGGAGCUAGAAAUAAAACCAAAGUGAAGCUGGUGUCUGAGUUAGAACAGAAGUUCAGUUUCCCGCCCUGCUUCCCUCUCCUCAGCACGUUAUGAAGCUGUUUGCACAGCCAGCUCCUCGCCGUCAGUAUCUGUGCUGCAGUGUGCCUCCAGCACCUCCAGGCUUACAAUGAUUGUAGUCAGGAAAGAAAACAGACGGCCUUUUAGGUCUGCUGACUGCCCGGAGAAAGUAACUGCAGUACUCUGUCACUGCUGCUGCCACCCAUAAAAAUUAGUGUGCAAAUUGUGAAAUUUGUUACCCCCUUUAUUUGUCUGACCAGCCUAUGUGGUGUGUGAGGAGCCCCUCCCCACAAAGGUGGUGGUAAUAAAGCUGAGAAUUCACUGGGAACUGAAGUAGGCUAGGCACUUGGAGCUGAAGGAAGUGGUUAGCAGAGCUCAGGCUCAGCCUCAUAGCAUUCUCUGCCAAAGCAGCCCAGUGCUGCUCACCACUCGGUCCUCUUGCCCUGCUUUCAGAGGAGACACAGCCCACACAGUGCCAUCAUCCAGCUACUGAGCUGAUCCCAGCUUGCUACAGAGUUCACCCAGAGACCUGCAUGGAGGCCAUGCAGCUCUUUGCCCAAGAGCAGGUGCUUAACACCUGAGCUUCCCUGCGCCCUCUGAGGCACCUAAGAGCUGUUAUCAGCUUUCUUUCUGCACACAGAUGUGGAAACUCUGCUCUGUGCUUUCUUCCUGUUCUCUUCCAACACUGAACAGGUCUCCUGUGCAAUUGUGCGCGCCUCGGAUAACCUUCCCAGGCUGUGAACACAAACUGUGGGUUCUCACAUUAAACCUGUAGCUGAGAAUUUGCUCUACCAAACAGUGUUAUGGAGCUCUUUGUAUCCGCAGUGGUUUCCAUGGAAAUAAAUAGGAGACAUCACUUUUGGAGGACCUACAUCUAAGUGCAUCACUUGGCAGCUGGUGGACUUGGGAAAGGAAACAACAACAGAAUCCUGAGCUCAACUCAAACACUAACUUCAAGUAGUAUAAAUAGUUUUAAAUUGCAAUACAUUAUUUUUGCCUUACCUUCUACUUGUACAGUUUGAGGAUAUUAAAAAAAAAGGAAAUAGAAGGUUAACUUUCUUACAUAUCUCUGACAUAUCCACCUUUAAAACAUAGGAAACAAACAGACACGUAAGGGGCCUCUGGCAGCAGAUGUUCAGACAGGAGCUGGUAUGGGUUGCUCAGUGGCAGUUUUGCCACCACUUCCAGCGUGGAUGUAAUUUUUGCCAGUGGGACCUUAGGAGAAAAACAAUCAAUCCAAUAAUUGAGCUGGGGUGUGGAUUUCCUCACUUCAGCAUACUGCACUUCCACCUGGAUCUUCCGAGGCAUUCUCUGAGUGUCAGGCAUUGCGAGGCACUGAGCCGGGCAGGCGGUCGAGCUGAGAUAGAGCAGCACUUCCAUCAGGUAUCCUCCUUCAGUGCUGCCUUGGGAAUGUCAUUUCUGUUGUCUGUUACAUUUCCACUGCUUUGCUGCUGUUAUGGGAGAGCACUCCGGAAAGGAAUAAACAUCCACAGUUAUACCGUUUCUGUGAUCCAUAGUUUAUGUAUGCUGGAUAGAAUCACAGAAAUCAUUGAGGUUGGAAAAGACCACUGAGGUCGUCUAAUCCAACCAAUUCAAUAAUGAAAUUCUGCUCUGCAGGUUCCAGCUCUUUCUUGCUGCUUAUAACGUUGUCUCCAUGCACAUCUGUCCAUCUGCAUCUCAUUAAUUCUUCCAAAUGAGAAACAGUCACACUGCUAAGAACAGAUUAAUAUAUACAGUGUGCCCAAUGAAUUCAGGCUUGUGAUGUCUGCCAGCUCAGUUUAAUGUAAAUUUCCCAUCUGAAUGCAACAGUGUUUCUCUAGUGUAGUUAUGUUUAUAUUUAAUUAAAACCAUUACCCUUUGGUUCUUUUGGUUCAGUGCCUUAAAUGUAUUGAUCCAGAGGAAGAAGGGUAAGAAAUGAUAAAGAGAGAAACAAAAGUAAUAUUUUAAACCUAAUCUGUGUUUUUGUACCAAAAAAGAUUUGUACAUAUAGUAAAUAAUUCAUCUGUGGUAGCAAGGAUUUUGUGAGAUAGUUUUUCCUUUUUCCAUCUUUAAAACUUCAUUUUAUUCUCCCAGUAUAGAAACUGGCUGAAUCUUACUACUUCUAUUCUUGAUUUUAACCUAACAUGGUAGUGAAAGCAGCCCACUGGGCGCACUCUCACCUUUGUUCCACUGCCAUUGCUAAUGCUGUGGUGUUACAAUUCUAAUUAAAAUUACUACUAUUAAAAAAGAGGUAGAUGAUAGGUAGGAAAAGGC